UACGUCGGGGGCUAGCGUUGCUCGGAAUCACUGGGCGUAAAGCGCACGCAGGCGGAUUGUUAAGUCAGGGGUGAAAUCCUGGAGCUCAACUCCAGAACUGCCUUUGAUACUGGCGAUCUUGAGUCCGGGAGAGGUGAGUGGAACUCCGAGUGUAGAGGUGAAAUUCGUAGAUAUUCGGAAGAACACCAGUGGCGAAGGCGGCUCACUGGCCCGGUACUGACGCUGAGGUGCGAAAGCGUGGGGAGCAAACAGG
rnacentral:rRNA from 1 species